UCCUCCCUCUGUCGGCGUGCUUAACACAUGCAAGUCGAACGGAAAGGCCCUGCUUUUGUGGGGUGCUCGAGUGGCGAACGGGUGAGUAACACGUGAGUAACCUGCCCUUGACUUUGGGAUAACUUCAGGAAACUGGGGCUAAUACCGGAUAGGAGCUCCUGCUGCAUGGUGGGGGUUGGAAAGUUUCGGCGGUUGGGGAUGGACUCGCGGCUUAUCAGCUUGUUGGUGGGGUAGUGGCUUACCAAGGCUUUGACGGGUAGCCGGCCUGAGAGGGUGACCGGCCACCAUGGGACUGAGGUGCGGCCCAGACUCCUACGGGAGGCAGCAGUGGGGAAUUUUGCACAAUGGGCGGAAGGCUUAUGCAGCAACGCCGCGUGCGGGAUGACGGCCUUCGGGUUGUAAACCGCUUUCGCCUGUGACGAAGCGUGAGGGACGGUAAUGGGUAAAGAAGCACCGGCUAACUACGUG
rnacentral:rRNA from 1 species